rnacentral:rRNA from 1 species
AGAUUGAACGCUGGCGGCAUGCCUAACACAUGCAAGUCGAACGGGAGUAGCAAUACUCUAGUGGCGGACGGGUGAGGAAUACGUAGGAAUUUGCCCUUAAGUGGGGGAUAACCCGGGGAAACCCGGAUUAAUACCGCAUGACCUCGAAAGAGCAAAGUGGGGGAUCGCAAGACCUCACGCUUUUGGAGAAGCCUACGUCGGAUUAGCUAGUUGGUGAGGUAAUGGCUCACCAAGGCGACGAUCCGUAACUGGUCUGAGAGGAUGAUCAGUCACACCGGAACUGAGACACGGUCCGGACUCCUACGGGAGGCAGCAGUGGGGAAUAUUGGACAAAGUGGGCGCAAGCCUGAUCCAGCAAUGCCGCGUGUGUGAAGAAGGCCUCGGUUGUAAG